rnacentral:rRNA from 1 species
UACGUAGGGUGCAAGCGUUGUCCGGAAUUAUUGGGCGUAAAGAGCUCGUAGGCGGUGUGUCGCGUCGGUCGUGAAAACUUGGGGCUUAACCCCGGGCCUGCAGUGGGUACGGGCAGACUAGAGUGCGGUAGGGGAGACUGGAAUUCCUGGUGUAGCGGUGAAAUGCGCAGAUAUCAGGAGGAACACCAAAGGCGAAGGCAGCGUCCUGGCAAGUCACUGACGUUCAGGUGCGAAAGCUAGGGGAGCGAACGGG